AUGCCCUCUUUACCUUCUGUGACCUCUCCCUUAGUCUUCCCAUCAGAACCAGUGGGGAAGUUGCGGUGUCCAGUCUUUCCUCGUUUAAUAUUCUGUUAUCUUUGUGCCUCUGGGCUCAGCUGGGAGCUGCAGGAGGAGGAGGAAAUGGAUGAUGCGUGUCAGGAUUCUUUGGAUGAAAAGUAUUUGGCUCUUUCCAGUCACCAUGACUUGUCUGACUCCUGCCACCCUCCCGACAGUCCCACCAUCCCAUCUGAUGAGCAUGAAAUCUGCUCUCGUCUGGAUGGAGCCCGAGUGAUUAAAUUCCAUCCAUCAGUCUAGUCUCGGUGUAGAACUUCCUCCAAACCAACAGCAGCCAGCAUACCUGAUGGAGUAAGAGCUGAAUCUUGCCACAGCCUUUCCAGAAAGCAACUAGAUGAGCUCCUCAUGACCCCGGGAAGAAUAUGUUGAACUCUUUGCCCAGGUUCAGGGAAGAGAACUUUGUUGUAUUGAUCUGCCAAUUCAGAGACAGUCUGCCCUAUGACUCAGGAAAGGAAGCCUCGUCCCUUUUCAGAAGACACAACCCGAGGCCUCCUGGAAUAUUCUGAGACUAUCCUGUUCUCACGCUGAGAAGACUUAUGUCCCUGUGUUGAAACAGGCCCCUGGGUUGGUAAUGUGUCAAGAAGCAACUUUUUAUGAUGAC
rnacentral:lncRNA from 1 species